rnacentral:rRNA from 1 species
UCAGUUCGGCUGGAUCGGUGACAGGUGCUGCAUGGCUGUCGUCAGCUCGUGUCGUGAGAUGUUGGGUUAAGUCCCGCAACGAGCGCAACCCUUGUCCUUAGUUGCCAGCAUUCAGUUGGGCACUCUAAGGAGACUGCCGGUGUCAAACCGGAGGAAGGUGGGGAUGACGUCAAGUCCUCAUGGCCCUUAUGUCCAGGGCUACACACGUGCUACAAUGGCCGGUACAAAGGGGCGCAAGACCGCGAGGUGGAGCAAAUCCCAAAAAACCGGUCUCAGUUCGGAUUGGAGUCUGCAACUCGACUCCAUGAAGUUGGAAUCGCUAGUAAUCGCGUAUCAGCAUGACGCGGUGAAUACGUUCCCGGGCCUU